ensembl:lncRNA
UCAUCCAACGCAGAUUAAUAAGGAUACGAAACUUGGAAAAAGAUCAAAGCGCGUCGUCGCCGCGGCAACUAAUUGCUCGGGACGAAUGUUGAACUAUCUUAAUUGGAAACACAGAGGGGACGCGUCUCAGAGGCGGCUGUAAGAGGGGUGGGUGGGCAGCGUGUUGACAUGAGCCAAUCAUGGGAUCACUGAUCUAAACACUCCACACUCCUGUCAGAUGUCUGCUGGUAUGUUCCAGGAGUCAACUUUUGAAGGCUACUGCAGGUGCCAUGAUGUCGGCUCUUGUGCCGUUGCUUUUUAAAUUGUCUUCGCUCUCGUGUGUGUGCUUUAACCGGCUGCAGAUGGGUCCGUGAGUCCAUGUCCUCAUCCAUCACGCCUGAUGCGAGGCUGAUGCCUCUGCACAAAGACGUUACUGAGAUUGGAAAUGAAGGGAGGCCGAUUGGCAAAAAUCUAUGGUGCGAUAACAGGAUGCCAUGAGGUCCAGCUGGAGGGUGAGAGGACCAUGGAUUUGUGGGGGUCUGCCUUCCUGCUGGUUUACCAGUGACCUUCUCAACAGGAGGACCUUCACACCUGGACCACCAGGCGCUGAGUUUGAUGGCUUCCUUCAGAGUGGAUGUGCAGACAGCAGACCAGAGAGGCAGCUGCCCCAGGACACUAAUCCCACCCUAGAACAUCCCCAAAAACAACUCCCCAUCCCUCCGAUCAAACUCAGGGGCACUGCAUCUCUGUUUGUUCCGGGCCAUAAAAUGUGUGAGAAAGUAAUACAGCCAAAAAUUCUCAUAUGCAUAUGAAAAAUCAUGCAGUGAAAGAGGCCAGCGGAUUAGAACAAGAUAGAUUUAUACCAAGCUUUACACAUUCCUUUUGACAAAUUUGCUGUUUUAGCAUUGCUGCCCAAGACCUCCUGGUUACCUAGGCGAUGACAUUAAACUGGGAGUAAAUGGCUUAUUAUGUGUGAUAAAUUCAAACAAAGAUGACGCACUGUACCCAGCGAGUAUAUCUAAGAAGUGGAGAGGAAAUGUCAAGCAUCUGAAAAGGAACCUGCUGUAAAUUGUGGUUAUGGAGACUAUAACGAAUCCCGGCCCCCAGCAAAAGGUCUCUUUGUUCCGUCCCUGCUGGUCCUCGCUGUGGUGAAUAUUAUGAGCUGGGGCAAAGGAGGAGGGAGCUUGGCUGUUGUGUGUGUGUGUGUGUGUGUGUGUGUGUGUGUGUGUGUAUUCUGUGUGUGUGGUAAUGGUUUCCAAAAGGGGGGCGAUAGAGAGACAGAGACACAGAGAGAGAGAGAGGGAGAGGGUUGGGGCAGGGAUGGUCGGAGGGAAGAGAGUGAACUGGCAUGGCCGCUUGGCUUGGCCACAAUGUGUGGUACUGGUUGGCAUGGCCCGAAAGGGCCCUGACGCACACAUUAGCUGGCCACUCUGAGCCUACGGCACAGCCGGAGAGAAAAGAAGAGAAAAGAAAAGAUAAUUGAGACAGACUUGUCUUGCAGGUGUUGAGAUAAUGGACUAACAAAUGAUCUAAUGGUGUUGUUCUGUUUUGGGUCAGGGAGGGUGUGUGUGCGUGUGCGUGUGUUACUCUGUGUGUGGUGAGGACAGUUCUAUCUAUUUACCUAAACACAAAUCGUUAAAUACAAGUGAAUAGUUUUAUUUCUUUUCAUAAAAUAUCCACUGUUCCUAAACUGUAGAUAUUUGUCUGUAGUUUUUUUUUUUUUGUAUGUUUGCUGUAAUAGUAAUAGACACACUCCCCUGUAAGUAAUUCAGAAAUUUGGCUUCACUGGUGUUUAACAAGAGAGAAGCGCUGGUUGAUAUUGUGUGGUGAGAAAAAAGGAUGCAUUUGGAGCAUCAUGUUUGCUUGAGCCAAAUCUCCCCAGGGUCAUUUCCUGUUUUGCUCUUAAUUGAGAGUGUUCUGGAAAAAUCAUUACUAUAUUAAUGAUUUAACACAAAGUAACUACCUGCUUUUUUCCAAGUGGAAGGUGAGAUUUGUUUCCGAUCGAUAGCCAUGGCGCGCUCAUUAUAAG